GAUGAAGAACGUAGCGAAAUGCGAUACGUAGUGUGAAUUGCAGAAUUCAGUGAAUCAUCGAAUCUUUGAACGCACAUUGCACCUCUCGGUAUUCCGGGAGGUAUGCCUGUUCGAGCGUCAUUUGUACCCUCAAGCUCUGCUUGGUGUUGGGUGUUUGUUCCGCCUCUGUGUGUGAACUCGCCUCAAAACAAUUGUCAGCCGGCGUACUUGUUUCGGAGCGCAGCACAUUUUGCGAUCCAGAUCAACGUACAGCGGCAUCCAAGAAGCCUUAUUUAACGCUCUUGACCUCGGAUCAGGUAGGGAUACCCGCUGAACUUAAGCAUAUCAAUAAGCGGAGGA
rnacentral:misc_RNA from 1 species